GACGAACGCUGGCGGCGUGCUUAACACAUGCAAGUCGAACGGAAAGGCCCUGCUUGCAGGGUACUCGAGUGGCGAACGGGUGAGUAACACGUGGGUGAUCUGCCCUGCACUUCGGGAUAAGCUUGGGAAACUGGGUCUAAUACCGGAUAGGAACCAUCUUUAGUGUGGUGGUUGGAAAGUUUUUUCGGUGUAGGAUGAGCUCGCGGCCUAUCAGCUUGUUGGUGGGGUAAUGGCCUACCAAGGCGGCGACGGGUAGCCGGCCUGAGAGGGUGUACGGCCACAUUGGGACUGAGAUACGGCCCAGACUCCUACGGGAGGCAGCAGUGGGGAAUAUUGCACAAUGGGCGCAAGCCUGAUGCAGCGACGCCGCGUGGGGGAGGAAGGCCUUCGGGUUGUAAACUCCUUUCGCUAGGGACGAAGCUUUUUGUGACGGUACCUAGAUAAGAAGCACCGGCUAACUACGUG
rnacentral:rRNA from 1 species